rnacentral:rRNA from 1 species
CCUACGGGAGGCUGCAGUGGGGGAUAUUGCACAAUGGGGGAAACCCUGAUGCAGCGACGCCGCGUGGGUGAAGAAGUAUUUCGGUAUGUAAAGCCCUAUCAGCAGGGAAGAAAGAAGACGGUACCUGACUAAGAAGCCCCGGCUAACUACGUGCCAGCAGCCGCGGUAAUACGUAGGGGGCGAGCGUUAUCCGGAUUCACUGGGUGUAAAGGGAGCGUAGACGGCCGUGCAAGCCAGGAGUGAAAGCCCGGGGCCCAACCCCGGGACUGCUCUUGGAACUGUGCGGCUGGAGUGCGGGAGGGGCAGGCGGAAUUCCUGGUGUAGCGGUGAAAUGCGUAGAUAUCAGGAGGAACACCGGCGGCGAAGGCGGCCUGCUGGACCGCGACUGACGUUGAGGCUCGAAAGCGUGGGGAGCGAACAGGAUUAGAUACCCCGGUAGUC